rnacentral:tRNA from 1 species
AAAAAGAUAAGCUAAAUAAGCUAUUGGGCUCAUACCCAAUUUAUAAAGGUACAACCCCUUUUCUUUUUA